UUUAAAGACUUCGACAAAAGCUGUGUGUGCAUAUUUUUGGGUCGGCUUAGACCAAUUAAAUCCACACAUUGUGAGCACCUAACUGGAGGAAUCUAAUUACAACCUACCGCCAAGCCAAGCCCAGCCCAGCCCAGCCCAUCAUACACAGUCUGGAGUCUGGACCUUACACUGCCUUCCACGAAAGAGUUCCUUAGAAGCUCCAGGACAACAGCAGCAGCAGCAGCCCGCCUGACCCAGCUGGAUCAUUGUACGCCGGCUGCACCCUGGUGCGUUUUUUCUUUACAGGAGACAGGAGCCUCACCGAGAGCUCCGCACACCGGUUCCCAAGCUGUCUCUUCGGCUGCUUCCCGCGUUUAUUAUGGACAAUGAUGAGGACGAUGAUGGGAACUUCACCAAGUGGAUGAGCAGCUACUGGGGGCACGGGGUAGGGGAGGAGCACGCCAAAGAUAGGAAGAGAAGUUUUAGGAGGCCCUCACGCAACAAAGCUGACCGCCGUGCCUCUUUGCCCUGCAUGGUAAGUCUCAGCUAGAAGCAAUGCAGGCGAAUCAUCUCCAUGCUAACACCAUGGCCCAUGGCCCUGUCCACCUAAAGGGCCGUGAGGAGAAGGAGGUGCACUCUCAUCCUCGUGCCCGCCGUGUGUCUUCAGACGAAAACAGCCGAACCAAAGUGGUGGGACCUGAAUGUCACAUCAGCACCAUUCCAGAGCUCACGGAGUGCUUAGAGAAGAGGCUGCGUUUCAAUAACCAGAAGGGUGAUGCAGAUAGCAUAUGUCUUAUUUGCCAUGAAGAACUACGGAAUGGAAGGGGUGGCAUCCGAGAACUUCACUGUGGCCAUCAUUUUCAUAAAGAGGCAAAAUGGCCGGAGCACAGCGCACGUCCACGUAGUGGGAGUUCUGCACCUGCUUGUGAGCGAGGAAAAGAGAUACCGUUCUGCCCUGGACAGGAGGAAUAUAACUUACCCCGUCGCCAACUCUCUUUACGUAGACAACGUUGAUUGUUUUUUUGUUUAAAAUACACUCUGCAAAAUAAAAGUUCUUUAUAUUUAUUAUUUAGAUAUAAAGAACCUUUACCAUCUGUGGAACCUUUCCAUUGCACAAAAGGUUCUUUAUAGUAUAUAAAAAAUAAAUGAAAAAACUAACAUUUAUGUUUUAAAGAGUGUACAGUAUGUAUGAAAAGUAGUUAAACUAAACAGUAAUCACUCAGUAUAUUAUCAAAAAACGUGUUAAUUGUCAGUUUUAGUUUGUGUUUAGCUUCACUACUAUUGCUUUAAAAAAUUAUUUAUUUUCCCAAUCAAAGUCAUUUACAUUUUAUAAAUACUGCUGUUUGAAAUGUCAUGAUUUUGUACUUUUGUCCUUUUCCUAUAUGGUGAGAAUUAUAUAAACCAUAAUAUGUUUUUAUAGUCUGUGUAUUACUAAACUGUCAAUCAAAUUUAGUUUUUCAGAAUUAAUAUGCAUUGAUUGUUGCUAUUAUUCAUGAUCCUGUUGUUCAUUUUAUACAGCUAUUUUGGAUUAGAAAACCAAACUGUGAAUAUAAGAUGUUUUGGCUUGUUUUUGAUUUGGAAUUACGAAUGCUGUGUGAAUAUGGUAAAAUCCUGAAUUUGCAGGUCAUAUGUCAGGAGUUGCAUUUAUAAAGCUACAGUUGCUUGUCAAAUGCACAUGCUGGAAAUUAGCUGGUGGCAGCUAAUCAUAUACCACUGUAAUGGAAAUCAAUGAUGGGUCACAGUUCUGCCCCUCAAAGAUCAACAGAUCGUUUUUUCAUGCAAGCAGGUGUCAUGCAAGUGCAAUCAUGCCUCUGCUAUGGGUCUUAGUGAUAUAAAUGUUUAUAUAACAUUUUUAAAAGACAUUUAAAAAACAUUUAGUUUAGCUGACCAUUAUUUCCUUUAGUAUUUAUCUUGCAUAGGCUACACUACAAGUCAUCUGUUUGUAAUUCAUAAAUAUAUUUGUGGACAAAUCUUUUUUUUUUUUUCAAGAAUUUAAGCAUAAAUAUGCAAAACAAAAGGUUUUUAACAUCAUGUAAACUUAAAUAUAGACUGAUAGUGUGUUUUACUAAGCUUGCAGUUCUUUAAAAGCAAUAAAUGUUGCAAUAUGUUUAGCAUGUGCAGAUGUAUGUAUCAAUAGUUUUCAGUUUUUAUUUACAGCCAUUCUGGCUUUGAAUGACCCUCCAUAAUUUGGCUUUCCUUUCUUUCAG
ensembl:lncRNA